CAGGAUUCGACAUGCCCUCUAUGGACGCUUGAAAGAGAGUCCUUCACUUCGGGUGGGAGGAGCACAGGUGCUGCAUGGCUGUCGUCAGCUCGUGUCGUGAGAUGUUGGGUUAAGUCCCGCAACGAGCGCAACCCUCGUCCUCUGUUGCUAACAGGUAAUGCUGAGAACUCUGAGGAAACUGCCGGUGAUAAGCCGGAGGAAGGUGGGGAUGACGUCAAGUCCUCAUGGCCCUUACAUCCUGGGCUACACACGUGUUACAAUGGCGGUGACAAUGAGCUGCGACCCCGCAAGGGAUAGCUAAUCUCAAAAAGCCGCCUCAGUUUGGAUUGUACUCUGCAACUCGAGUACAUGAAAUUGGAAUCGCUAGUAAUCGUAGAUCAGCAUGCUACGGUGAAUA
rnacentral:rRNA from 1 species